CAGUUCGGAUUGCAGUCUGCAACUCGACCGCAUGAAGCUGGAAUCGCUAGUAAUCGCGAAUCAGCAUGUCGCGGUGAAUACGUUCCCGGGUCUUGUACACACCGCCCGUCACACCAUGGGAGUCGGAAAUGCCCGAAGCCAGUGACCCAACCUUUAAGGAGGGAGCUGUCGAAGGCAGGUCUGGUAACUGGGGUGAAGUCGUAACAAGGUAGC
rnacentral:rRNA from 1 species